CCUGGUGCUGUUUGACAUCUUUGUGAACAUCUUGGCCCACAACCUGGCAGAGCUGGCCUACGAGGCUGACGUGUCCCAACUGGAGUACAAACUGAUCGCCGGGGAUCAUGGCCUGGUCAUCGGGGUCAAGGGCUUCAACCACAAGCUGCCUGGUCAUCAGGGUCAAGGGCUUCAACCACAAGCUGCCUGGUCAUCAGGGUCAAGGGCUUCAACCACAAGCUGCCUGGUCAUCAGGGUCAAGGGCUUCAACCACAAGCUACCUGAUCAUCAGGGUCAAGGGGAUGUGUCUGUUGAUCCUGGAGCACUGUCGCUGGUUGGUCAUCCAGAAGUUCCAAGCUAUCAUGAAGGGCCUCGCCGUGGAUGACCUCAUGUGUCACGUCCUGACCAGUGAAAAGGGUCAUUUGUCAUAGUAGAAUGGUCAGGGCGUGGCAGGGGGGUUGUUUUGUGUGUUUUGUUUUUUUUGGUUCUAGGGGAAUUUGCUCUAGUUUUCUAUUUCUAUGUUUCGUUUUUCAUGUUUGGCCGAGUAUGGUUUCCAAUCUUUCGUUGUCUCUGAUUGGAAGCCAUACUUAGGCAGCCUGUUUUCCUUUGGGUUUUGUGGGUGGUUGUUUUCCGUUUUGUCUGAGUACCUUACGGAACUGUUGGCUGUCGUUAUUUUGUUUAAGUGUUCUCGUGAAAUAAAGUAAGAAUGAGCACUCAACACGCUGCGCCUUGGUCCCCUUUCAUCGACCGCUGUGACGUCAUGACCUUUGUCAGCGUCGUCAAAGCCCAGCUGUACACCGAGGAGCUGGUGCAGGGCAACUUCACUAGCACAGUGAGCUGCUUUAUAAAAAAACAUACACACACACUGUCUCAGAUGUGCCCGCACACACUCCGGAGAUGUGCGCUCACACGUACACACAUCCAACAACCUGAGGCGUG
rnacentral:lncRNA from 1 species